ensembl:lncRNA
GACUCAUUAGCGGCACAUAAACAGGUCAUGAAUCCACUCCCGCUGCUCUCCCACGUGCCAAGGAAACGGUGUUUCUUUACCCACCUCCCUAACAGACCUGCUCUUUCUCACAGCCCUCAAGCCCUGGACGAUGGGAAACAAGCAAACGCACAGACCAGAAAACGUAGACUGAGUCUCCUGCAGCAGACCCAGACGGGAGCAAUAAUGUAAAAUCGCUGAGGGAAGGCUCACUAGCUUCAAAUACAAACGUCCUGUGGUAGAUUCCAGUCCUCCUGCUGCUCCUCUGCGCGACGUGGACCAGGAAUACGCGAGGUGGAUUUACGUAAACUUGCAGUGGAGAAGCAAGUGCCUCCUUAAAUUUUGUGACCUAGGCACCUCACUGGCCUCACUCUAGUCCCAACCCUGGGGCAAGAGUGCCCCUAGUCUCACACUGGCCUUUGGUAUGAGCCAGACGGCUGGGGACCUCGGAGUUGCUGCUGGUUCUGUCCCUGAGUGUCUGCUGCUGCUGGAAUCAGGGCCUGAGACACCCACAGUCAGGUCUCCGUGUUUGCAUGAGGGACUGGAGAGGUUCUCUAGUCGACUUGAUCUCACCCCAGCUCUUGCUAAAGCUGCUGAGCCUCAGUCACGUCUUCCAUCCAAAGCCCAGGAGGAGGCAGUCCACCCGCAUUCUCCGUAAGGCAGAGCUGAUGUCCCUCAGCCCAUCUGCAGGCCCACCCUCAGGAGCACACAGGGAUGCUGGGGGCCCUCCACACCAUGAGGACACUGAAGGCAACUUAGAAAAACUGAACAGUGGCCUUUUCUCUGCUUAACCACGCUGGACCGCCACGUUUCCUCUGAUGCUGCUAUCCUCCAGUUUGGAGCAGGGCAGACUGGAAGCCAUCUCUACCCAGAGCCCCAAAUGUGCCUCGAGUCCAAAGCCCCUGACUGUGUCACUCCUCAGCUAACCCCACCACCACCGCUCGCUCCAGCCCCAAGUCCACAGUGGGGAUAUCAGGGCCCCCAUGCCCAGCCCUGCCCCUCUCACCUCUUCUCCCCACUGAAGUCCUGGCUGGAGGAGCAGGACCCUACCUUCUCCUCAGACUUUGCCAUACCCUCCUCCUAACCCGGGCCAGGAUCCAAACAGCCAGCCAGCAGGUGGGAGAGGUUCCUUCCCCAUUCUGUGGAAGAAACUAUGAUUGAAAUCAUCCAAGUUUUCCCCUUGAUAUGCUAAAAAGAAUAAAAAAUAAAUAAGGUCCAUCUACCUCCUUUUCCCUCUCUCUGCACCCACUCCUGCUCAAACCUGGCUUUUCAUCUUACUAUCUUGUCCCUAAAUUUUAUAUUGAAUGUCAGAAGCUGAUUAACUCACUCUUUUAUCUUUGCGUUUCUGCUAAAAUGCUCCUAAUACCUCCACCUCCCACCUGAAGGAGAUGAAUGACUGGGAGCUAAUUGGGGAGUCAGUCAAGGAUCUGAAGCGCAAGAGAAGAAAGCGCAUUCAACAGUUUCUCCAAAUAUUACCCCAGUUGCGUUUAUCACCUUGGACAAGUUUCCUAAUUUUUGAGCCUCGCUUUCAUUAUCCGGAGAAAAGGAAGUUAUAAUGGUCCUAAACCAUAGGGUAAUUGGGACGAUUAAAAUUUUGUGUGUCUACAAAGACAGCGUCCAGAAAAGGCGAAUCCAUGGAGACAGAGUGAAACAGUCUCGACUGGGAGUGGGAGCGAGAUUGACUGCACACGGGCACAAGAGGACAUCUUGAGGUGAUGGAAAUGCUCUAGAACUGGCUUGUGAUGGAGGUUGCACAACUCCACAAACUUACUAAAAUCAUCGAAUCGUACACUUGCAAAAAGUAAAUAUUACAUGAAUUUUAUCUUAAUAAAGUUAUUCUUUAAAGUAUUCUUGGUGUGUGUUGACUCACAUACACAGGAACAUAUGUGCAUUCAUGCACACACACACACACAGGCGCACAGAGCCUGGCACAGAAUAAGCACUUAAAAGAUGUCGAUCACAUCUGUUACCAUAUUAUUGAAGUGUUUUAUGGAAAUGUAUUGUUGUUAUUAACCUCUCCUUUCACAUCAUUUUCAUGGCUGUUGCUCUAAAAUAAUUUGAGAAGCUAUUCUAUCGAUGUUUAGGGGGUUUUCCACUUAGUUAAAAUGCCUAUUAUCAAAUUCUUAGUAUCUUCAAAAAUUCUAGGAGCUGCACAGAAGUUUAACAAACCUCCUCGUUAUUUCAAUGCAGUUUAUAAGAAAAGGCAAUAUAUUGUUAGAGUAUUAUUAGACUCCUCAACUGUUCUUUUGCCUGUUGUAAGUCAGUUUUCCAAAUCACAAUACUUGAGACUAAAAAUAAAUAAAAAU